rnacentral:rRNA from 1 species
GACGAACGCUGGCGGCGCGCCUAACACAUGCAAGUCGAACGGAGCGCACAGUGUGAAGCCCUUCGGGGUGGAACUUUGUGUUGCUUAGUGGCGAACGGGUGAGUAACACGUGAGCAACCUACCCUAAAGUGGGGGACAACAUCUGGAAACGGAUGCUAAUACCGCAUAAGACCACGGAACCACAUGGUUCUGAGGCCAAAGGAUUUAUUCGCUUUAGGAUGGGCUCGCGCCUGAUUAGCUAGAUGGUGGGGUAAUGGCUCACCAUGGCAACGAUCAGUAGCCGGACUGAGAGGUCGAUCGGCCACAUUGGGACUGAGACACGGCCCAGACUCCUACGGGAGGCAGCAGUGGGGAAUAUUGGGCAAUGGGCGAAAGCCUGACCCAGCGACGCCGCGUGAGGGAAGAAGGUUUUCGGAUUGUAAACCUCUGUCUUCGGGGAAGAUAAUGACGGUACCCGAGGAGGAAGCCACGGCUAACUACGUGCCAGCCGCCGCCGUAACAC